GGUCUCUUCGGAGAUAGUGGCGGACGGGUGAGUAACGCGUGAGAACAUGCCUUUAGAUUGGGGACAACAGUUGGAAACGACAGCUAAUACCGAAUGUGCCUUACGGUGAAAGAUUUAUUGUCUAGAGAUUGGCUCGCGUCAGAUUAGCUAGUUGGAGUGGUAACGGCACACCAAGGCCACCAUUUCUACUUGGUCUGAAAGGAAGACCAGGCCCACUGGAACUGAAACACGGUCCCAACCCCCACCGGAGGCAACCUGGGGAAUUUCCCAAUGGGGGAAGCCCGCAGAGCACAUCCCCCGGGAGGAGGCCGGCUUUUGGUUUAAACCUUCUUUAUCAGGAAAAUCGUUACGGUCCCGAUGAAUACACC
rnacentral:rRNA from 1 species